rfam:Lactobacillus concavus DSM 17758 NODE_42, whole genome shotgun sequence.
GCCGACUUAGCUCAGUUGGUAGAGCAUCUGAUUUGUAAUCAGAGGGUCGGGCGUUCAAAUCGUCUAGUCGGCA